rnacentral:siRNA from 1 species
UACAAGCGAAUAGACCAUUUA